rnacentral:rRNA from 1 species
AUAGCGUAUAUUAAAGUUGUUGCAGUUAAAAAGCUCGUAGUUGGAUUUCGGCGUGCGCUUGGGCUGGUCGGCCGUCAAGGUCUGUACCGUUCAGGUCACGCCCCACUGUAGGAUACUCACCGCUGUCCUUAACUGGGUGGCGGUAAAAGGCGUAGUCUAUGGGGGCAACUCUGUAGGUUGCGUUGGGGUUCCUACUCUUUUACUUUGAGCAAAUUAGAGUGUUCAAAGCAGGCAAUCGGGCCUUGAAUACUUCAGCAUGGGAUAAUGGAACAGGACUGGGGUCCUGAUUUCGUUGGUUUCUAGGAUCUCAGUAAUGAUUAAUAGGGAUAGUUGGGGGCAUUAGUAUUUAAUUGUCAGAGGUGAAAUUCUUGGAUUUAUGAAAGACUAACUUCUG